UGGGGAAUUUUGGACAAUGGGCGCAAGCCUGAUCUAGCCAUGCCGCGUGAUCGAUGAAGGCCUUAGGGUUGUAAAGAUCUUUCAGCUGGGAAAAUAAUGACGGUACCAGCAGAAGAAGCCCCGGCUAACUCCGUGCCAGCAGCCGCGGUAAUACGGAGGGGGCUAGCGUUGUUCGGAAUUACUGGGCGUAAAGCGCACGUAGGCGGAUUGGAAAGUCAGAGGUGAAAUCCCAGGGCUCAACCUUGGAACUGCCUUUGAAACUCCCAGUCUUGAGUUCGAGAGAGGUGAGUGGAAUUCCGAGUGUAGAGGUGAAAUUCGUAGAUAUUCGGAGGAACACCAGUGGCGAAGGCGGCUCACUGGCUCGAUACUGACGCUGAGGUGCGAAAGCGUGGGGAGCAAA
rnacentral:rRNA from 1 species